rnacentral:rRNA from 1 species
CUCCGGUUGAUUCCGCCGGACCUGACUGCUAUCGGAUUGGUACGAAGCCAUGCGAGUCGUUGUAGCAAUACAAGGCGGACGGCUCAGUAACACGUAGUCAACCUAACCUAUGGACGUGGAUAACCUCGGGAAACUGAGAAUAAACCGCGAUAGAUCAUUAUGCCUGGAAUGGCUUAUGGUUCAAACAAUUUAUUGCCGUAGGAUGGGACUGCGGCCUAUCAGCUUGUUGGUGAGGUAAUGGCCCACCAAGGCUAUAACAGGUACGGGCUCUGAGAGGAGAAGCCCGGAGAUGGGUACUGAGACACGGACCCAGGCCCUAUGGGGCGCAGCAGGCGAGAAACCUUAGCAAUGUGCGAAAGCACGACUAGGUUAAUCCGAGUGAUUUCUGUUGAAGAAAUCUUUUGUCAGUCGUAAAACCACAGACGAAUAAGGGGUGGGCAAGUCUGGUGUCAGCCGCCGCGGUAAUACCAGCACCUCGAGUGGUCAGGAGGUUUAUUGGGCCUAAAGCAUCCGUAGCCGGCUACGCGAGUCUCCGGUUAAAUCCAGCUGCUCAACAGAUGGGCUGCCGGAGAUACUACAUAGCUAGGGAGCGGGAGAGGUAGACGGUAUUCUGUGGGUAGGGGUAAAAUCCACUGAUCCAUAGAGGACCACCAGUGGCGAAGGCGGUCUACCAGAACGCGUUCGACGGUGAGGGAUGAAAGCUGGGGGAGCAAACCGGAUUAGAUACCCGGGUAGUCCCAGCUGUAAACGAUGCAAACUCGGUGAUGCAUUGGCUUAUGGCCAAUGCAGUGCCGCCAGGUAAGCCGUUAAGUUUUGCCCCCUGGGCAAGUACGGACCCCAGGUCUGAAACUUAAAAGGAAUUUGGCGGGGGAACCACAAGGGCGCAAUUCGGCAAAUAUCCUUCACACCGGGCGGGCCGCUCG